GACGGGGGAUGCAAGCGUUAUCCGGAUUCAUUGGGCGUAAAGAGCUCGUAGGCGGCUUGGCAAGUCAGAUGUGAAACCCUCAGGCUUAACCUGGGGCCGCCAUCUGAUACUGCUAUGGCUAGAGUCCGGUAGGGGAUCGUGGAAUUCCUGGAGUAGCGGUGAAAUGCACAGAUCUCAGGAGGAACACCAGUGGCGAAGGCGGCGAUCUGGGCCGGUACUGACGCUGAGGAGCGAAAGCGUGGGGAGCAAACAGG
rnacentral:rRNA from 1 species